rnacentral:rRNA from 1 species
AUUGAACGCUGGCGGCAUGCCUUACACAUGCAAGUCGAACGGCAGCACGGGUGCUUGCACCUGGUGGCGAGUGGCGAACGGGUGAGUAAUACAUCGGAACAUGUCCUGUAGUGGGGGAUAGCCCGGCGAAAGCCGGAUUAAUACCGCAUACGAUCUACGGAUGAAAGCGGGGGACCUUCGGGCCUCGCGCUAUAGGGUUGGCCGAUGGCUGAUUAGCUAGUUGGUGGGGUAAAGGCCUACCAAGGCGACGAUCAGUAGCUGGUCUGAGAGGAUGACCAGCCACACUGGGACUGAGACACGGCCCAGACUCCUACGGGAGGCAGCAGUGGGGAAUUUUGGACAAUGGGCGAAAGCCUGAUCCAGCAAUGCCGCGUGUGUGAAGAAGGCCUUCGGGUUGUAAAGCACUUUUGUCCGGAAAGAAAUCCUUGGCUCUAAUACAGUCGGGGGAUGACGGUACCGGAAGAAUAAGCACCGGCUAACUACGUG